UACAGAGGUCUCAAGCGUUGUUCGGAUUCAUUGGGCGUAAAGGGUGCGUAGGCGGCGCGGUAAGUCGGGUGUGAAAUCUCGGGGCUUAACUCCGAAACUGCAUUCGAUACUGCCGUGCUUGAGGACUGGAGAGGAGACUGGAAUUUACGGUGUAGCGGUGAAAUGCGCAGAUAUCAGGAGGAACACCGGUGGCGAAGGCGGGUCUCUGGGCCGAUAUCGACGCUGAGGAGCGAAAGCGUGGGGAGCGAUCCGG
rnacentral:rRNA from 1 species